rnacentral:rRNA from 1 species
CCAGACUCCUACGGGAGGCAGCAGUGAGGAAUAUUGGUCAAUGGGCGGGAGCCUGAGCCAGCCAAGUCGCGUGAGGGAAGACGGUCCUAUGGAUUGUAAACCUCUUUAGGCGGGGAGCAAUGCCGGGCACGCGUGCCCGGAGGGAGAGUACCCGCAGAAUAAGCAUCGGCUAACUCCGUGCCAGCAGCCGCGGUAAUACGUAGGUGGCAAGCGUUGUCCGGAUUUACUGGGUGUAAAGGGCGUGUAGCCGGGCUGACAAGUCAGAUGUGAAAUUCCGGGGCUCAACCCCGGACCUGCAUUUGAAACUGUUGGUCUUGAGUAUCGGAGAGGCAGGCGGAAUUCCUAGUGUAGCGGUGAAAUGCGUAGAUAUUAGGAGGAACACCAGUGGCGAAGGCGGCCUGCUGGACGACAACUGACGGUGAGGCGCGAAAGCGUGGGGAGCAAACAGGAUUAGAUACCCGUGUAA